rnacentral:lncRNA from 1 species
AGGGUACAAAUUCCUGUUUAGAGGAUCGCUGGAUGCGAUUGAAUGUGAUAUUGAAUAUUAUCAGCCAUUUAAAUUUUGGGCAAAUGUUAGCAGUGAAUGUCUUUUGCGCAAGUCAGCAUGUACAGAGGAGGGGCAGAUAACCAUCGAUAGAGGCAAUUCGACAUAUGAUAGGAUAUGCCGUUGCGAUUAUACCCAGGGCUACACAUUUAUCAAAACUCCAGUGAAUAAAUGUUUUUGUAUACCUUCCGUAGAAGAUUGUUCGUGUCACAAAGGGUUGUGUCCUGUUGAUCAUAUUUUGACUCCAGGUAUGACACAUUUACAUUCAUUCAUUUGGUGAAAACAAUUAAUAUUUAAGAGUUGUCCGUAUUUCUGAUCCGUAUCAAAGGGCAAUGUAUAAAGAAAUAAAUAUCAGUACUGAUUGAACCCACUCAGUGGGUUUUGAUUUGUAACUUCGCCAAUGUCUAAUACUUUAAGGUUAUUUAAUUUUUUCCGCAAAUAUUUGAUUCACAUUUAUAAGAAUGUAAUUACCAAUUUAUGAGUUCUAUGUGCAAACUAUUUACACCGUUCAGUACAUGCAUGAUAUAUUUGCCACUGGACGAUAAACAACUAACAAUCUAGCAAUAAUAACAGUUAAAGACCAAACAGCCUAUUCAUUUCUACCAGUGAUUUUUCCCUCAAAUUUUGUUUGAAGGUAUUUCAUUAUUUGAGGAACAAAAUGUGAUGAAAAAAAUUGGGGGUCACCGACUUAGUUUUGUCACUAUAGCAACCUCAGGUUCGUGUUUUCCCGAAUAUUACCAUAAUAUAUUUUACUUGUUAUCUAAACUCUCAAAAAAUUCCUUUAUAUCCAACCUACACGCAUAAUUCUUGUUUCACGUUGAACAGUAGAUUUGUAUCUAUCAAAUACAUGUUCAAGAGUUUAUAAUAAUAAUCUUUUAUUCGUCGGCAGCAAUACAGCUUAUAGAAUAUAAAUAUUACAAAUAUUCAAUAACAUCAGUGAAAUAUAUUUACAUUUAAUCAAUUGGUCAGAUAAUCAUAUAAGUAAGUAUACCAAUAUAACAGUACAGCAGAGUAUGAUAAAAUAUAACACAUAUUAAGCAUUUAUAAUGAUUGUAUUUAAAUUAAAUACGUGCCUUCUCGGCCAGAAAUAAAAACUUCCCUAAAUUGUUAAGUUCCUUAACAUUAAGGACUUAUAUUGUUUUGAUCUUUAAAACUAUGAUUUAUUUCAUUCCCGCCAAAAAUAAAACUUAGAAAUGAAAAACGUUUUCAGUAUCAAAAAAUAUCUACCAGUGAUUUCUUCAUAAAAAAUUCAAGAAGGAAAGUGCCAUGUGUACUCUUCAAAAUAAAGCAAAAAAAAAGUGUAUGUCAUCGACCUUUCAAAAAAGUUAUGAGUAAUUUUCAUGUUUUUUUCUCGUUCGUUUUGAAGAAAAGAGUUGUCUUUCUUCAGAACAUUGCAUUGACGUCAUAGUACAAAACUUCCUUGCUGGCGCACUAUUUGCAAAAAAUCACAAAAAUGGAGGUUUGAAACCCACAUUUUAAUUUCCAAGAAUAACAACAACAUUCACCUACUUUAUUAUCCGGUAAUACAAGAGAUUAAAUGCAUGUAUAGAUCUUACAUGUAUGAUGUUGUUGCCGCACAAUAUUAACCUUCAGAAGCACCAUCCGUCGGAAUGGAACAUUGUUUGAAAUAACCUUUCAUGCCGCUUUUGUUAGGAAAGUCUGCUCCUCAUUUGCAAAAUUAUUGAAUAUAAAAAAAGGAAUGAAAGAUAGCACUGGCUAACUUACAGAGUACUUGACUUUAUCUUACCUCCUAUACAUUUCAGGAAUAUGAUUGGUUAAAAGCGUCGCGUGUAACCGUGUAUAUUUGAUAUUAGGUUAGUAGGGAGGCGGGUUUAUCUCAUACACGUUAGUAGUGGAGUUACGUCCCUUUAUAGUCCUUAUUAGGUAAGAAGGGGGUGGGGCUUAUUUCAUACACGGUUAGUAAUGGUGUUAUGUCCCUUUGUAAAAAACAAAACGGUACUGAGACAAAAUCUUAAAAGUUCCAACAGACGAAGAAAUUGAUGAUUCAGAUUGAAAUAAAUUCAUAAAACACAUUUAAACCUUACAAGUCGUUAUUGUUGGCAUCUGUUUUUGUAGGAUUAAUGGAAGUAUUUCUAGCGCUAACAGUAUUGAGACUUGCUCGUUUUGAGAAUCACUAGCCUAAUUUCACACGUUAAGAUAGUCGUAAGAUAAAUCGUUACAUAGUGCUAGUGAGUAAUACCGGUAUAUAUGGGGUCAGUAAAUUCCAUAUGGGGAUUCGAGCUUCGCUCUCACCCCAUAUGGAAUUACUGACCCUAUACCGUAUUAGUCACUAGCACUAUGAACUAAUAAUAUCAGACUAGAGUCACUAGAUGUGUGAGGGUUUUUUUCCGCGUAAAUUUGAGAAGUUUGUCGUAACGAUCUCAUUUGCUACUGUUGACAGACGGACGUACAACGGCAUGGACGGACUUCUUUAUUCCAUUAUUUUUCCCGACUGAGACGAACGUAUAGAAAUUAUUCCAACUUGUUUAUGUAUUCAUUAUUUCUGAAUAUUUAAGAUAUAAGGAGAUUAAAAGUAUAGGUAUAAUAUAUGAAUUAAAGUUUUUGAUUAUAAAACGUAAAACGUCUAUCAUAAAAUACCAUCCCUGUCAUUACUAUUACCUCACGUGUUUUGAAUAAACGAGACAGUUAAUAUAAAAUACAAAAGUUUUUAAUUCAACUAUUAAUUAAUUUAGAAAUAAUUAUCCGUUGAAAACUACAAAGUAAGAUUUCUCCAACAGGAUAACAUAUAAUAAAUCUAAAUUGCUCAUUUUGGAAAUUAAACAAAGACAAGAUUGUUGCCGGCAUUGAAAAUCGAAAUUUGUUUUCAAUUUUUCCGGUCAGAGGUUUUAUGUUGGAUAUUAUUCUUGGAGAAUUUGUUUUUGUCAUAAGUUAAAUUUACAACAAUUUAGUUUUAAACACAGAGAAUUAUGAUUUUAAUUCACAUUCGCUGAGUAUUAAUUUUAUUAUUAUGUUUUGCCUUACAGCUAAUUUACUACAGCAUGUAGGGUAAAACUUUGGUUGGCUUCCUUGCUUUGAUUCCAAAAAUGUUUAUUCAAGCUUUGUAUGUAAACCUGUAUAUAUGAUAUUUAAAUUCAAUUGGCCGUUAUCAAAAUAUAAUUAUACAAAAUAUAAAAACAAAGCAAGCAAACUAACAAAAGUGUUGAUCUACAAACAUUAGGAAAUUAGCUGUAAGCUUCAGUGAGAUCAGGCGAAAUGUGUAUCAUUUCUCCUUAAGACAAUUUGAAAUGAAACAAAUGACAUACGACAAUGACCCUUUGUCAUAAUUUUAUUUUUACUAUACGAUUUUGUCAAAUAAGCAGUAUAAAUAUAUUUAAGCUUCAUUGCAAGAUCGGACGUUAUUUUUACGAGAAUCAUCCAGACAUCAGUUACAUGCAUACGCAGCUAGUACAUCAAAGGAAUAAUUGUUUAUUGGCCUAACCUUCUGAAUACUCAAUUUUUGAAAAAUUAACAUUAAAAUUAGAAGGAUCGUAUCAUAAGAAACAUGUGUACUAAGUUUUAAGUUGAUAGGAUUCAUCUUUAUCGAAAACUACCUUGACCAGAAACUUUAACCAAAAACGUUAACCUGAAGCGGGGCAGACGGACGAACGAACGGACGAACGGAUGCACAGACCAGAAAAUAAAUAGAGCAUAUUUUUCACAUAUCUAAUUAACCUGUACACAAUUGGCACAAAUGAAUGACAAAAGCUACGCAAGUGAAAGAAUAAAAAAAAAUGAAAUGCAGAUCGUCGCAAAUAUAAGACAAAAUCUACGCAUGUGAAAGAAUUUAAAAAAAAAAAUGCAGAUCGGCGCAAAUGCAAAAAGUUGAGAUCAAAAUAAUAUAUUUUAUUAUUUAUAUUAGAACGAAGUUAAAUAAAGUGUAUUAUCAUAUACUUAGACUAAAUAACAUAAUUUUUACUGUAUGAUAAUAGCAUUACAUUAGUAAAUUCCAUAAUUUUUUCGAAUUGUGCUAAAGCCCCAGUCCCACUAGACCACGAUCGCACCACGCUCACCGCGAUCUAAAUAAUUUAGAUCGUGGUGAUGUCGCGGUACGAGUCGGCAUGAAAAGGGUAAUUUUCGUUCUUUCACGAUGCUACUACGUUCUAAUUACGCUUCUACGAACCGAUCCCGCUACGAUUAAACCACGUCUCACCGCGCUUAUUCUGCGACCUCACUACGCUUAUAAAGAUCUUUCUACGCUCUUCACGUUCUCACUACGACCAUACCACGAGUUAUCCGAUCUGCAACACGAUUUACUGCGAUUAUAGCACGUUCUUUACACGAUUUAUAUACGUUAAUACCGCGAUCUUACUACGUUCUCAGCAAUACGGUCAAUAUAUGUUUACAUAUCAAUAUAGUUCCAUUCCUUCUAUUUCUGAUUUUAAACGGAGAUUUCUCGAAAACAAUACAGUCAUGCCACCAAAAUCUACUAGAACAUGUGGGCGUGGUAGUAGGGGUUGAUAUAGAGGCAGAGGGAGCAGUAGGAACAUCAUACUAAACACUAAAUAGUACACAAGAACUAUUAAAUUAAAAAAAGUACAAGACUAACAAAGGCCAGAGCUCCUGACUUGGGACAGGCCAAAAUAGUGGUGGUUAAACAUGUUGUUGAGAUCUCAACCCUCCACCUAUACCUCUAGCCAAUGAAGAAAAAGUAAACGCAUAACAAUACGCACAUUAAAAUCAUUCAAGAGAAGUCCGAGUCUGAUGUCAGAAGAUUGACUAAAGAAAAUAAAACAAAUGACAAUAAUACAUAAAAUAACAACAGUUACUACUAGCAGUUAAUCGACAGCCAGCUCCAGAACUUUUCAUUACACUGAUACUAUACACAUAUUAAGUAGUUAUAAUACUUAGUCUCAAGAGAUGUCGGACGACAAUCAUACCUAUAAUUACAACCUUAUGCUGGUCCAUAAGCUCAAAUACUAUAUUUUAGUGAACGAUAGCAAGUGACACAGAGUUCAAUAUAUAUAGGAAGAUGUGAUAUGAGUGCAGAGACAACUCUCCAUCGAAAUAAAUUAUAAGUAAAACCAUUAUAGGUCAAGUACGGCCUUCAACGGAGCCUUGGCUCACACGAACACACAGCUAUAAAGGGCCCAAAAUUACUAACGUGUAACAUUAGACGGGAAAACAACGGUCUAAUCUAUAUAAAAACGAGAGCAAUGUUGAGCCGUUAGAAGCAAUGAUAAAUACAUGUCAGACAAACAAAAUCUAUGAGUUUUUUUAAUAUAUUUUAUUUGAAAUGACAAUAAAAAUGAUGGUCGUAGUGUGAACGUAGUAAGUCGUGAAAAGCGGAUGAGGACGGAAAGGGCGUGCAAAUCGUGCUUUGUCUGAACAGCGUGUAAGCGUAGUAAAAUAUCGUAUUGGGCCGGUGAGAACGUGAUGGUCGAUAUAAGGUCGGAUAAUUCGCUGUGAGAUCGUAUGUAAACUCCUAUAGAAUCACGCCUUCGCUACGAUGGCAUACAGCGACCUUUGGCGAUCUUACUACGAUCUUAUGCGCUCCAUCCUCUACUACACCUAAUUUCGCCACGACGCACCACGUCGUUUUGAACAUGGUUUCAAAGUUGCACGCUCUCACAAUCUUGAGACCUCACCACACCGUGGUACGACCUUACUGCGACCACACGAUCGUACCGCGUCAUCAAAAUUGCAUUUUUUCUACAAAUCGUGUGCGAUCGUGGCUAGUGGGACUGGGGUAUUAGCGGGCUGAUAUGAAAAGUUUAUCACAGUCUUCGAUUGUUAUCACAUGCCUUUCCGUAACGUUAUCGCAUGGCAUUCCGGUGAUACUCGGCAUAUUCCGGAAAAUACACCUCAAUGCUACGUUUUCAGUGAAAAACAUUACAAAGUAGUGUACAAAACAAUUAUUUGGAUACUGAAAAGUAUAUUGUGUAAAAUAUUGAUAAAAAAACAAAUAAAAAACAAACAAAUUAUUAAAUAAAUGCAUUUUUUAAAAGUUUCAAACACAAUUUAGAAAGUUACUUUGAAAGUUGACUUUUCCUAACAGUUUUCAUUAUGUAUAUUGUUGAUUUUUUUUGUCAGUUUGUAACUGUUCGUCCAUAUUUAAAUGUUUUUCUUCUCUGUUGAGGCAUAUGGUAGACAUAUUUCAUGUCGAAUGUACUAAAUUUUGGGUCCGACGUCCGUGAACUUCUCACUCUUUGAACUUCUGUUUGGCAACCACGUAAAAGGAUUAAUAUAUGAAUCUGUUAUAUUUCUCUAUUGUUGAAGCAUAUGAUAAAAAGAUUAUAAAAUGUCAUUUUUCAUAUCGCAUGUAUUAUCAGCCCUCGGUCAAUAUCAGCCCUCGAGCCAUGCGGGGGCGAUCUCAGGGGCUCCGUAAGAGUGCGUAAAUUCUGCUCCACAUGUGAAACCCGUCGAGUCGUGUUGCUUAAGUUAAUACAAACCCGGUAUAUACCGUGACACAUUAAUCAGUAGAUACAAACUGGUAAUAUGAAAACCAUACAAAGGGCAAUAAUCACACUAUCAAUCCGGUAUUCUGUUACAGCUUAUAAUAAGGAUGGUGAUUUGACAAAAAAACACCAUAGAAAAACAUACACUGAUGUGUUAUUCUGAUGCAGUAGUGGUUAAUGAUGAUGUUGACAAAUACAAACAUGGUACAUUUUAAACCUAGCCCUUACAAAAUAAUGAGAAAGGAAGAUUUGAUGGCUCCCCGUAUUCUUAGCGAUUACUGUAAAUUCAGAAAUUAUUGCGUGCAUUUAUUAUUGCGAUAUUGUCAUUUUUGCAAUAUGAGAAAAAAAAAAUGUUUUAAUUCAUUUAAAAAAUUUCAAAAUGCUAGUUGAAAUUAUCGCGAUUAAAAACCCUGCCACAUUUUCGCAAUAACAAAAACCUCGCAAUAAUUUCUGAAUUUAAAGUAUAACAUUAUUUGUAUUUUUCUAUAUAGAUUAUGGAUGUGUCAAGCAAGAGGAAUGGACUGGACAUUAUGUCUGCUCUACAAUUAAGAAAACAAUGUGAGUGAAGUAAUAUUUCGUAUAUUACAAUAUCCUACAUGUACAUUUAAAAUUGCUAAUGUCUUUGGCGUUAUAAAUAUUAUUGAUACACAUAUUUUCAAAUUUGUUUUAUUCUAGACUAAUACCUUUUUUUGUGUUAGUGUUAAAACGGUUGAGACGGAAUUUCGUAUGCUUAAUAGAUAAUGUUUUUAAAGUGUUCCAUGAAUACAUGUAUGUUAUGUAAGCGCCGUCUUAUUUAUUAUAAUAAAAUCAUUGCAACUUUUAAGGAAGACGGCAUAGUGGUACCAGUUUAACUUGUUUCUACAAAUAUCAGUGAUAUCAUCCUGAACAUACAUGCAAUAUUUGCCACUGGACGUAUAGCAAACAAAUCUCAAUGAAUUGACAACCUUUAGAACAUCUUAUCUUGUCUAUAUUGCUAACAUAUUUGAACUUCUUUAAAAUAUCAACCUUCAUACUUUAUGGAAAAUUUUUGCUGUCAGACACUUUGGCGAGUAACGAUCAAGUAAUCCUUUGUAUAUCUGUACACGGCUGCAUUUGAAUAACUUUAUUACUCUUGUUAUUAUUUAGUCAAGUUAAUCAGUUUUAACCCUAUAGGUUCAAAGGAGAAGAGUGUUCUACUAGACCAACACCCGUUCCAACUUUCGACACACCAGG